CCUUGAAAGAAAGCGUAAUAGCUCACUGGUCAAGUGAAUCUGCGCCGAAAAUACAACGGGGCUUAAACUGUCUACCGAAGCUGCGGAUUCUGCACUUAAGUGCAGAGUGGUAGGGGAGCAUUCCAAUCGCCGUUGAAGGUGCACCGCGAGGAGCGCUGGAGGUUUUGGAAGAGCGUAUGCUGACGUGAGUAACGACAAGACGGGUGAGAAUCCCGUCCGCCGAAAGCCUAAGGAUUCCUGGGCCAGGUUCAUCCUCCCAGGGUUAGUCGGGACCUAAGACGAGGCCGAGAGGCGUAGUCGAUGGAAAACAGGCAAACAUUCCUGUACCUCUUUGUAACAUGUUGAUGGUGAGGAAGGACGGAGAACGCUAGGUCCGCCGGACUGAUGGAUGUCCGGUACAACCCGGUAGGCGGGUCAGAUAGGAGGUGUUCGCACCACAAACG
rnacentral:rRNA from 1 species